UCAAUAAGUCUCUACUCAAUUGGACUUCAAGUCUAGAAAUCAAAACUCCCUUUACAUCCUCACCCCGAUGUACUAUAUACUGCUAUAUGAGGAUGGUGGCUUCUGUAGUCUGCUUCAAACCCGGCUUCUCCCCUCCGUAGAUCGGGAUGUAGCGGCGUCCGGAGGGAAUCGGCCGGCGGAGGCGGCGGCUACACAAUAGCAUGGAGAGCGGCAGCACAUGAUCCAGAUCAUCGUCAAUGGAGUCCCGGGCCAUUAGUCCCAGCGAGACGGCGCUGCCGUACGCGCAUCCGCCGUUGGCCCCGUCCGACCCCAUGGAGGAGCGCCGGAGCGGGGGCGAGGUGGUGCGUGUGCGUGGUGGUGCAGGUGGUGGGCGGCGAUGUGGCGGCGGACAUGCCGCGGCUGGCGGGGACGGCGCGGAGUCUGGGCAGGGAAGCCGGCAUGUCGGAGAAGACCUCCGGGGCGGCGCGCGGAUGAGAUGGGGUUCCUCGGCGCCGACGCUGACGGGAUCCCCUGGAGCAAAGCAUGCUCCAGUGGCAGCGCACCGGCUUCCAUUUCUAGCCUGAGAAAAACUAGAUAAACCGUACGUGCAUGAUCCAUCCAUUCCUCCAGCCAUUAAUCCCUUCCUUUUGAUUGCAGGGCAUUGUACUAUUUUUUCUCCUUUGAUUACAGGUGCACGAAAGUGAGGCCACGGCCAGGAGCUAGGCGGCGAUGUACUCUCCAUAAAUUUCUAUUUCUCCUGUCUGAAUUAACUUUCUCUCUGUUAAUUUUUUAUGAAGAAUCAACAGAUUAUGAAUCCCA